CGUGUAGGCGGUCGGCCAAGUCCGGUGUGAAAGCCCGGGGCUCAGCCCCGGAAGUGCACCGGAAACUAGCCGACUUGAGCGCGAUAGAGGAGGGUGGAAUUCCUGGUGUAGCGGUGAAAUGCGUAGAUAUCAGGAGGAACAUCGGCGGCGAAGGCGGCCCUCUGGCUCGUUGCCGACGCUGAGACGCGAAAGCGUGGGGAGCAAACAGGAUUAGAUACCCUGGUAGUCCACGCUGUAAACGAUGGGUACUAGGUGUUCGGGGUGUUGACCCCCUGAGUGCCGACGCUAACGCAUUAAGUACCCCGCCUGGGGACUACGGCCGCAAGGCUAAA
rnacentral:rRNA from 1 species